rnacentral:rRNA from 1 species
CGUUGUCCGGAUUAUUGGGCGUAAAGCGCGCGCAGGCGGAUUAGUCAGUCUGUCUUAAAAGUUCGGGGCUUAACCCCGUGAUGGGAUGGAAACUGCUGAUCUAGAGUAUCGGAGAGGAAAGUGGAAUUCCUAGUGUAGCGGUGAAAUGCGUAGAUAUUAGGAAGAACACCAGUGGCGAAGGCGACUUUCUGGACGAAAACUGACGCUGAGGCGCGAAAGCCAGGGGAGCGAACGGGAUUAGAUACCCCGGUAGUCCUGGCCGUAAACGAUGGGUACUAGGUGUAGGAGGUAUCGACCCCUUCUGUGCCGGAGUUAACGCAAUAAGUACCCCGCCUGGGGAGUACGACCGCAAGGUUGAAACUCAAAGGAAUUGACGGGGGCCCGCACAAGCGGUGGAGUAUGUGGUUUAAUUCGACGCAACGCGAAGAACCUUACCAGGUCUUGACAUUGAUGGACAGAACUAGAGAUAGUUCCUCUUCUUCGGAAGCCAGAAAACAGGUGGUGCGCGGUUGUCGUCAGCUCGUGUCGUGAGAAG